AGAAGCCAAUUUGGACUUGGAGUUGAUUGCUGCAGAAGAAGAAGAACUAAAGAAAGAACAUGCUGAAGCAAUAAAGUCAGGAAAAAUCCAAAAGCCUGCAAAGUCAACUACCAAGCCAAAAGAAAAGGGAAUACUGAUCAAAGAAGCUACUGUUGCUGAUCAGAGUUUACCAGUCAAAAAGGUAUUCUCUGAAGAUGAAUAUACAACUAAAGGAAAAAGCAAAGUAGAUGAAAAUCUGGAGAAAGGCUGGGAUAAGAAGAAGUUUACAACCUCUGACACAGCUCAAGUUGUACAGGAAAAGAAAUCAGAAGCUGCAAUCUCUGACAAAGCUCAUGUUGCAGAAUC
rnacentral:lncRNA from 1 species